CAGCUUCUGUAGCACUAAAGUGCUUAUAGUGCAGGUAGUGUGUCGUCAUCUACUGCAUUACGAGCACUUACAGUACUGCCAGCUG
ensembl:miRNA rno-mir-20a rno-mir-20a